GGAUGUAGCCAAGCGGUAAGGCACCGGACUUUGACUCCGCCAUGCGCCGGUUCGAAUCCGGCCAUCCC
rnacentral:tRNA from 1 species